GACGAACGCUGGCGGCGGGCUUAACACAUGCAAGUCGAACGGAAAGGCCCUGCUUUUGUGGGUGGCUCGAGUGGCGAACGGGUGAGUAACCCGUGAGUAACCUGCCCUUGACUUGGGGAUAACUUCAGGAAACUGGGGCUAAUACCGGAUAGGAGCUCCGGCUGCAUGGUGGGGGUGGGAAAGUUUCGGCGGUUGGGGAUGGACUCGCGGCUUAUCAGCUUGUUGGUGGGGUAGUGGCUUACCAAGGCUUUGACGGGUAGCCGGCCUGAGAGGGUGACCGGCCACAUUGGGACUGAGAUACGGCCCAGACUCCUACGGGAGGCAGCAGUGGGGAAUAUUGCACAAUGGGCGGAAGCCUGAUGCAGCAACGCCGCGUGCGGGAUGACGGCCUUCGGGUUGUAAACCGCUUUCGCCUGUGACGAAGCGUGAGUGACGGUAAUGGGUAAAGAAGCACCGGCUAACUACGUG
rnacentral:rRNA from 1 species